GGCUCUUCUGAUUCAUGUGAUCCCCUC
rnacentral:piRNA from 2 species